UACGGAGGGGCUAGCGUUGUUCGGAAUUACUGGGCGUAAAGCGCACGUAGGCGGCUUGUAAGUUAGAGGUGAAAGCCCAGGGCUUAACUCUGGAAUUGCCUUUAAGACUGCAUCGCUAGAAUCGUGGAGAGGUGAGUGGAACUGCGAAGUGUAGAGGUGAAAUCGUAGAUAUUGCAAGAACACCAGUGGCGAAGGCGGCUCACUGGCCCGAUACUGAACGCUGAGGCACGAAAGCGUGGG
rnacentral:rRNA from 1 species